UGCCCUUGUGUUACCCAUUCAUUUUUUAAAGUGAUGAAUGUGGCGUCAAACAGGGCAGAAAUUAAACUCCAUGCUAUCCAAGGUGCUUUGGACUUUUAUUUCCAUGUCCACAGCACAGGUCUGCAUAGAGACAAUA
rnacentral:snoRNA from 1 species